ensembl:lncRNA
UGGAAACAAAUAGAUUGUAAAUAAGCUUGUUCAGUAAAUAUGCACAAACUGGUCUGGCUACAUCCAGAUGUUCUGGCUUUGUCUCUUCUGCAAUGCAAGGCUGGGAGGUCCCUGAGUGAUUGCACCUGGACGUGUGUUACCUGCUGCUUCUCCACCCUUGAGAUGUAUGAUCACAUCAGGACAACCGGUCAGGAUGUGCUACAGAGCAGCAUUUUUAGUCUCCUUGACUUAGCAGAAAUGACAGAUGGCUGCGGCUGGGAUGGAGCCGUUCCUUUCCCUGCUCAGAAGAGGGCAAUCAGCAAAACCUCAGGGCAGCUCCAAGGGACAUGAGAGUCUUGCUUUACACACGCACAGAGCAGCCCUGGAAGGAGUGAAAUGAAGAACUGUCAAGGAAAGUUGGAGGAGUUGUGCUGUCCCAAGCGUGCAGGCACGGUGCUUGUAAAACCACAGGGUGUGAGCGUGGUAUUAGCAAGCCUUUGUGUCAUCUCCAGGGGAGAGCUGAGUCCCAUUGAAGGCAGAGGACAGACGUCAUUCAGAGUUCGCUUCCUCUGCAUCAGAGAUGGCAAAAAGUAAUAUAAACACAGGAGAAGGAGAAGAAAGAAGAAAUAGAGACGUUGGAAGCAAUGUGCAGUACGUAUGUUUGUGUGAAGCGCCGUGUAUUUCAGCUAGAGCAGAUGAAUGCAUGUUAAUUCUGUUGCUGCACUAUCCCGGUAACUUGUUAGCAUUAUUCAAAUCAGUGUUGUUUUGCUUAUGGAAAUGUGGGUAUGAGAAGGUGUCCUUGUGGGGAAGAGGAGCUCGGUGGGUAGGGGAGGUCUCCCUGGCAUGGAGUCCUCAACAGGGCGGUGCUGAGCAGACAAUGCAAGGAAAGCUUGUCAAAUGUCAUUUGUUAGAGCAGAAACAGCAGAAAAUCGAGGCCAUGAAAAAUAUAAGCCUCAUGCCAAUUCUUUAUGCUUCGCAGGGAUUUCCUGACGGGAUAUUUCAGGAGCCCUGUCACUGAGCCCUAGGGCCUGCAGCAGGAUGGAGGGCUGAGGAUGGAUUUGUUUAAAAGGCAGAAGCCCUGCAGCCAAGACACCCAAACCCUGCUCAUUGCCUUGGCCUUGCUGCAGCAGGUAGCCAAGCAGCUGGCUGUGUGAGUGUGCGGCGCGUGGCUCAGCACAACCUGUGCUCCAGAGGACGUCCAGGAGAGAUUAGCAGGAGGAAAUCUGUAGCUAAUGGGAGUUUCCAUUUAUGAGGAGAUUCUACAGCUCUUCCAGCAUUCCCCUGCACUGGUCCCAGGAGCUGAAUUUAUGACAAGAAGUUUCAAAGCGAGCUGUAUAAGGAAGAAGCAAGUCUGAGAUCCUGCUCUGCCCAUGCCAGGAGGUCCCAGGUUCCUUCCAAGCUUAUGCCCAGGAUUUGGUUUCAGCAGUAAUCUAAGGGAAGUGGUUGGCUCUCUCCUGCCUGUGCCUGACCCCUGUCCAACAGCACGAAGGAGAAUGAAGAGGAUGGACUUUGCUGGAGGCAGGAACCUCUCCAAGGUGUGGAUCUGCUGCAUGUGCCCAUCUGGAAUUUUUAACGCCGUGAGGCUCAAGGGACGUCUUGACUGUUCCUCAUUCCAACUCUUGCUGGAUUACCUGUCCAAGGCUCCAUAAUUGCAGCUGCUGCUGAGAUAACAAAGUCUGCUUUGGGACCAGCAGUGCAGCCCCUGGGAAGCACUGAUCCCCCUCUGUGUCAGGAUGUGCUGUCUGCAGGGCAGCUGAGUGAGUCAAGGGCUGGAUUUGCCUUGCUCUGAACUGAACAAAUACAGCAAGGCACAGCCUGCUCCAAGCUUCUUUAGGUCCAGCAAGAGACAGCAAAAUUCACUGGUUUCACUUUGAGGUGUGAUGGAAGACAGAUCCUAUCAGAAACUUCUCUGUGUCAUCUGGUUGGCCAAGACACCUACAGACUGCCGUGGCUGAGUGCUCUGUGUUUGCUUUGAAGUGCCCCAUGCAUCUGCAGGCUCUGCUCCUCACUCCUUCCUGAUGCCCUCCGCGGUGACACCUGUCAGGGUGAGCAGCUUCUAUCACCGUCCUCUGCGUGGAGAGGCUCCCUCGCUGCUCUGAGGGUCCAUUUGUUUCCUCUUAUCACAGCCUAAUGAUUUGGCCAAGGAAAAUUUCUGCCCAUCCUGGGGACAGUGGCUGAGAGAUCGGGAGAACCUGGCCUCCAGGAUGGAGUUUGCAAUGUAAUAACCUCAUUCUGCUACAAAUGCUGAGGCUUCACGACUCAUCUGUCUGCCAGGCAGAGCAUUUCCUGACCUUUUUAAGAAAGCUGGGGAUGGAAAAGCAGCCGGACUGGAGGGUGUCCCGUCUGCCUGGAACCAAAACAGCAUCGCUGAGAGUUCUGGAGGGGAGGAAACUUGCAGCUCAGAGCCAGCAGUGAGGGCUGAGAGCUUGCAUGACCUCCCCUUCCUCCAGAGAGGGAAGAUUGGACUGGCUGCUAUUAUAUUUGAGCAUGUAAGUGAUGAUGUUCUCCUUCAAAUAUCUCAUCAGCUGAUAAAUGCAAAUCCAGAAGAAGCUGAUGCUUGCAUAGGGAGCUGGAUGUCCAGGGCUGCUUUCUCUGAUGGUGUUGGACAUGAGCAGUGGGUAUCCCACAUUUUGCACUAAGGACAUUGGAGGUGUGAUGGCAGAAGGCACUGCUUCCAUCAGUGUUUUCGGUGGCAAGUUUGAGAAUGGAAACCUAAAACACUGCAGCUUCUCUGGUGCUGUCCCAGGUCAGGUGUCCUAGGUCAGAGAUGUCUCAUGGGAGCAUGGCUGUCCCCUGUUAGUGAAAGAUGUCCUUGUUUCAGCUGGAAUAGAAUGGAUUGUCACCUAGUAGCUGGGAUGGUGUUCUGUUUUGGAUUUAGGAUGAUCCUUCUGGUCUCUUCCAACUUGGGAUAUUCUGUGAUUCAUAAUGCGGGUAACACACCAGUGGUUUUGUUGGUGCAGAGAGGUGCUGCAUGGAGCCAAGGGCAUCUCAGCUUCUCUUGUUGCCCUGCCAGUGAGGGGAUGGGGGGCACAAACUGCUGAGAGGGGACAGCACUACAACAGCAAACCAAAAGGAUAUCCCAUACCAUAUGGCAUCAUGCUGAGUCUGUUCUCUCCCCCAUCUCUUUCGGAGGAGUGAUCAGACUGCUGUAUGGUGCUGAGCAGCCCACCAAGUCCAAGCCACAGAGGUGGUACGGGACACACAGACACACACCCGACACAGGACAGGGCUGACAGG